rnacentral:rRNA from 1 species
CUUUUGCUGGCGACCGGCGCACGGGUGAGUAACACGUAUCCAACCUACCCUUUACUCGGGGAUAGCCUUUCGAAAGAAAGAUUAAUACCCGAUAGCAUAAUGAUUCCGCAUGGUUUCAUUAUUAAAGGAUUCCGGUAAAGGAUGGGGAUGCGUUCCAUUAGGUUGUUGGUGGGGUAACGGCCCACCAAGCCUUCGAUGGAUAGGGGGUUCUGAGAGGAAGGUCCCCCCACAUUGGAACUGAGACACGGUCCAAACUCCUACGGGAGGCAGCAUG